AAACAGGAUUAGAUACCCUGGUAGUCCACGCCGUAAACGAUGUCGACUUGGAGGUUGUGCCCUUGAGGCGUGGCUUCCGGAGCUAACGCGUUAAGUCGACCGCCUGGGGAGUACGGCCGCAAGGUUAAAACUCAAAUGAAUUGACGGGGGCCCGCACAAGCGGUGGAGCAUGUGGUUUAAUUCGAUGCAACGCGAAGAACCUUACCUGGUCUUGACAUCCACGGAAGUUUUCAGAGAUGAGAAUGUGCCUUCGGGAACCGUGAGACAGGUGCUGCAUGGCUGUCGUCAGCUCGUGUUGUGAAAUGUUGGGUUAAGUCCCGCAACGAGCGCAACCCUUAUCCUUUGUUGCCAGCGGUCCGGCCGGGAACUCAAAGGAGACUGCCAGUGAUAAACUGGAGGAAGGUGGGGAUGACGUCAAGUCAUCAUGGCCCUUACGACCAGGGCUACACACGUGCUACAAUGGCGCAUACAAAGAGAAGCGACCUCGCGAGAGCAAGCGGACCUCAUAAAGUGCGUCGUAGUCCGGAUUGGAGUCUGCAACUCGACUCCAUGAAGUCGGAAUCGCUAGUAAUCGUGGAUCAGAAUGCCACGGUGAAUACGUUCCCGGGCCUUGUACACACCGCCCGUCACACCAUGGGAGUGGGUUGCAAAAGAAGUAGGUAGCUUAACCUUCGGGAGGGCGCUUACCACUUUGUGAUUCAUGACUGGGGUGAAGUCGUAACAAGGUAACCGUAGGGGAACCUG
rnacentral:rRNA from 1 species